GAUUGAUUCAACAAUAUUAUUUUAAAUUCAACAAUAUUUUGUUUUGUUUGGAAUUCACCUGAUUUAAAUGCAGCGUGUAUAUUUUAAUGUGUACUGUUGUUAUUUUAAAAAUGGAGAGAAAUGUCUCUUAUACGUGAAUAUAGCCAAAACUUAAUUAGUUUAAUUGUAUUUAGUUGGAUGGUGAAAUAUCCACAGGGCUAACCACAGAAUCCUUGAUAUGAAUCGCUUUUUGAAAACAGUUCCGUUUGCUUACAAAGGACGCCUUCAAAAUGUUAAUCCGUGUUAUAAAUACAUUCUUCCUAGUAAGGUAAUUAUUCCGCCACAGCUUUAAUAAUAUUCUAUUAUAUUCAAUGAAUAAAUAAAUUUGAAA